CGAGCGAGCUUGCCUAGAUGAUUUUAGUGCUUGCACUAAAUGAAACUAGAUACAAGCGAGCGGCGGACGGGUGAGUAACACGUGGGUAACCUGCCCAAGAGACUGGGAUAACACCUGGAAACAGAUGCUAAUACCGGAUAACAACACUAGACGCAUGUCUAGAGUUUGAAAGAUGGUUCUGCUAUCACUCUUGGAUGGACCUGCGGUGCAUUAGCUAGUUGGUAAGGUAACGGCUUACCAAGGCAAUGAUGCAUAGCCGAGUUGAGAGACUGAUCGGCCACAUUGGGACUGAGACACGGCCCAAACUCCUACGGGAGGCAGCAGUAGGGAAUCUUCCACAAUGGACGAAAGUCUGAUGGAGCAACGCCGCGUGAGUGAAGAAGGGUUUCGGCUCGUAAAGCUCUGUUGGUAGUGAAGAAAGAUAGAGGUAGUAACUGGCCUUUAUUUGACGGUAAUUACUUAGAAAGUCACGGCUAACUACGUGCCAGCAGCCGCGGUAAUACGUAGGUGGCAAGCGUUGUCCGGAUUUAUUGGGCGUAAAGCGAGUGCAGGCGGUUCAAUAAGUCUGAUGUGAAAGCCUUCGGCUCAACCGGAGAAUUGCAUCAGAAACUGUUGAACUUGAGUGCAGAAGAGGAGAGUGGAACUCCAUGUGUAGCGGUGGAAUGCGUAGAUAUAUGGAAGAACACCAGUGGCGAAGGCGGCUCUCUGGUCUGCAACUGACGCUGAGGCUCGAAAGCAUGGGUAGCGAACAGGAUUAGAUACCCUGGUAGUCCAUGCCGUAAACGAUGAGUGCUAAGUGUUGGGAGGGUUCCGCCUCUCAGUGCUGCAGCUAACGC
rnacentral:rRNA from 1 species